AGUGAACGCUGGCGGUAGGCCUAACACAUGCGAGUCGAACGGCAGCACAGUAAGAGCUUGCUCUUACGGGUGGCGAGUGGCGGACGGGUGAGGAAUACAUCGGAAUCUACUUUUUCGUGGGGGAGAACGUAGGUAAACUUACGCUAAUACCGCAUACGACCUACGGGUGAAAGCAGGGGAUCUUCGGACCUUGCGCGAUUGAAUGAGCCGAUGUCGGAUUAGCUAGUUGGCGGGGUAAAGGCCCACCAAGGCGACGAUCCGUAGCUGGUCUGAGAGGAUGAUCAGCCACACUGGAACUGAGCCACGGUCCAGACUCCUACGGGAGGCAGCAGUGGGGAAUAUUGGACAAUGGGCGCAAGCCUGAUCCAGCCAUACCGCGUGGGUGAAGAAGGCCUUCGGGUUGUAAAGCCCUUUUGUUGGGAAAGAAAAGCAGCAGGUUAAUACCCCGCUGUUCUGACGGUACCCAAAGAAUAAGCACCGGCUAACUUCGUG
rnacentral:rRNA from 1 species